rnacentral:rRNA from 1 species
AUUGAACGCUGGCGGGAUGCUUUACACAUGCAAGUCGAACGAGUGGCGGACGGUUGAGUAAUAUAUCGGAACGUGCCCAGUAGCGUGGGAUAACUACUCGAAAGAGUGGCUACUACCGCAUACUAUUGGAGCGGCCGAUAUCGGAUUAGCUAGUUGGUGGGGUAAAGACUCACCAGGGCAACGAUCCGUAGCUGGUUUGAGAGGACGACCAGCAACGCUGGGACUGAGACAAGGACCAGGAUCCAACGGGAGGCAGCAGGGGGGAAUUUUGGGCAAUGGGGGAAACCAUGAUCCAGCCAUGCCGCGUGUAUGAGAAGGCCAUAGGGUUGUAAAGUACUUUCAGUCGGGAGGCGUUACCGACAGAAGAAGCACCGGCUAACUCCGUGCCAGCAGCCGCGGUAAUUC